rnacentral:rRNA from 1 species
GGAGCUUGCUCCUGGAUUCAGCGGCGGACGGGUGAGUAAUGCCUAGGAAUCUGCCUGGUAGUGGGGGAUAACGUCCGGAAACGGGCGCUAAUACCGCAUACGUCCUGAGGGAGAAAGUGGGGGAUCUUCGGACCUCACGCUAUCAGAUGAGCCUAGGUCGGAUUAGCUAGUUGGUGGGGUAAAGGCCUACCAAGGCGACGAUCCGUAACUGGUCUGAGAGGAUGAUCAGUCACACUGGAACUGAGACACGGUCCAGACUCCUACGGGAGGCAGCAGUGGGGAAUAUUGGACAAUGGGCGAAAGCCUGAUCCAGCCAUGCCGCGUGUGUGAAGAAGGUCUUCGGAUUGUAAAGCACUUUAAGUUGGGAGGAAGGGCAGUAAGUUAAUACCUUGCUGUUUUGACGUUACCAACAGAAUAAGCACCGGCUAACUUCGUGCCAGCAGCCGCGGUAAUACGAAGGGUGCAAGCGUUAAUCGGAAUUACUGGGCGUAAAGCGCGCGUAGGUGGUUCAGCAAGUUGGAUGUGAAAUCCCCGGGCUCAACCUGGGAACUGCAUCCAAAACUACUGAGCUAGAGUACGGUAGAGGGUGGUGGAAUUUCCUGUGUAGCGGUGAAAUGCGUAGAUAUAGGAAGGAACACCAGUGGCGAA